CUGAUGACAACCUUGAUGAUGCCUAGCGACUACGGCGUGGAGAUGUACCUCGGAUCCUCCCCGGUCCUCACCUCGGGCUACCUGGGUCAGCCCUUCAUCCACGACUACUCCAGACUGCCCCUGCAAGCCGCGUCGCCCCCCUGCCAGGCCAGCCCCCUGCAGGCCAGCCCCCUGCACACCUUCUGGGGCCACAGCGCCGCCACCACCACCAACAACAACAGCAGCUGCAACUUCAACAGCCUCAACAACAACAACAACAGUAUCAGUGGUUCCUCGUCGUCGUCCUCUUUGUCUUCCUCGUCCAACAACAACAACUACAACUACAACAACAACAGUCACUUCCCCAGCAGUUUCAGAAGCUCGCUCGACGGCGGCGGCUCUCUCUCGGCCUCGUGCUCCUCCGAGUACAGCCAAGGCCUCUUCUCCAGAAACACUUUCCGGCGGGCGAGCAGUCGGCGAUCCCCCCCGAAGAAGGUGGUGGAGACGCCCACGCUCACCCUUCAGCCCAUCAAGUCUUGCCUCGUCGCGCGCCAGGAAGACGAGUAUGAGGAGGGCGCCAUCUCGCCGACCCGGUUAAAAAAGCGCGUGGUGUUCGCGGACGACCAGGGCCACCCACUCACUGAGGUCCGCCUCCUCACAGAGCGCUCCGACUGCCCGCCCAGAUGGACCGCGGACUUCCUGGAGCAGGUGACGGGCGGCGCCAAGGCGGAGGCGCUGGCGGACCAGUGGGAGCUCGCCUUCCGGCAGCCGGCCUCGGACUACCUGGGGAUGAAGGCCCGCCUGGAGACCAACAACGUUUCGCUCGAGAACGUUUUGGUCAAGGAGUCCGAAGCCAGAGUCACCGGCACGGUUAAGGUCCGCAACCUGUCGUACCACAAGCAGGUGAAGGUGCGCUACACGACCAGCAACUGGCUGGCGCACGACGACGUGUACGCGGACUACGUGCCCUCCGCCGCCACCGCCACGGGCGCCUCCUACGACCUGUACGACACCUUCACGUUCGCGCUGCCGCUGCCGUCGUCCAACCAGGCGGACAAGCUGGAGUUCUGCGUCUGCUACACCUGCAGCGACGUCGAGUACUGGGACAACAACAACAACCAGAACUACGUGCUGGUCUCGUUCCGGCCCAAGGGCGCCAAGCAGCAGGACGCCAAGCCCAGGGACGCCUAUCACGUCAGCCUGGACGCGUGGAGCGAGUUCGCGUCGUGGAACCACCUCAGCGUCGACGACUCGCCCUACUGGUGAGGCUCGGCCGCGGGCGCAGGAGGCCAAGGAGAGGGACGGCCGGAAGGGCGUCGGAACGGAGGAUGGGCGUGCGAGGGAUAGGAGGAGGAGGAGGAUGAGGAGGGAUAUGGGAGGUAAAGGGUGGAGGAGGAGGAGGAAGGAAGGAAGGAAGAAAAAGGAGGAGACGAGAAAAGAAGAAUGAGGUGGAGGGAAAAAAACCGUGAAUAGAAAGUGUGAAUAGAUAGACCAGACUAGAUUGUCGAGAUAGAGAGACUGAAAGAGAUUAGAGAAACAGAAGAUAGAAAGAGAGAGAGAGCGAGAGAGAAAGUGUUACGUGUCUUCAAGAUAGGCCUAGAGGCGACGGCGGAGUAUAGGCCUAGGUGAGCAAGAGACGGACAAGGAACGCAGAAGAGAAGGAAAAUUGCCCUAGGCCUGUGGUGGUGCUAAUUAAUGUGUAUAUAUAUAUAGUUCUGUCGGUGUGUGCAUAGAAGAAUGAAAUUUUAAAAGUGUAUCUUCUAUAUUAUAUAUAUACAUGUGAAUGAAUAAACGUAUAUCUAUUUUAGUCCAGUGGAAGAAGCAGAGGCGGAAAAUAAUGGAAAAUAUUGAAAGCAUUCAGAUGUGACUGAAAUUUUUCUUUUAGUAUGAUUAUAUGUAUAUAUAUUUUCGUAAGUGAGGAUUACUGUCAAGUGCCUUUUAUUGUAAAGGUCUCGGCAGAAAAAUUGGAAAAUUGAAAAAAAAUAAAAAAUAAAAAAAUAUAUAGUUAUUGGGAAAAAAAGGCGGGGAGGAAAAAAUAAUAAGGAAAACAAUAACGAAACGAGGAAAAGGAAAGAGGAAAAAUUAACUACCUGGUUAAUCUCAGUGCUGUGGAUUAUAUAUAUACGUGUUAAGUCUUCCUCAUAUCCCCCCCCCCCCCCCGCUUACCCUUUCCUAACCCCCUACUCCCCCUCCCCUACCCCCCCACUGUGGGGAAGAAGAGUCAGAAACAUGUCUUUCAUUCAGUGUUGCCAGAAUAAAAAGAAAAGAAAGUGUGAACGUUUUCUUUGGGGGGAAAAAUAAAUAUAUAUUUGAAAAAAAAAAAUAGUGAAUCCCUAUUUAUCCUUCUAAUAUUCGCACCAACCCCUAUCCUCCAUCCCCCCCCCCCCCAUGCUCUCUCCGAUACCAAAACUGGCGUCGAGGAAGCUGUUACCAAGUCAGUGUGGGGUUUAAUGAGGAUACUAAGGGACGGAGGAGGGGGGGGGGUAUCCUACUCAUAAAUCUCCUCCCCCCCUUUCCCCCUCAUUCCCAACCCCCACCCCCCCCUCCCUUACAUCUGAUUCCUAGCGCCCUACCUUCCUCGCCCUCCUCCUCCUCCUCCUCCUCCUCCUCCUCCUCCUCCUUCUCCUUCCCCCCUUCCUUACCCCCCCUCCCCGAUGGAAAGUGGAGGUGGAAAUAAACUGGAUAAAGCAAAGACAAAGGAAACGAAGAGAGAUGAAAGGGAAGACUGAAGAGGGUUUAUAUAUAUAUAUAUAUUUAUAUUACGAAAAAAGGGAAUGAGAGAAAGAGACAAAAUAGAGGAAGGAAGAGAAGAGAAAAGAAGUGAGGUGGAAAAAGCAUAAUAAGAAAAACAAGAAAAGAGUGAGUGAAAGAGAACGCGAGAAAAAAAAAACGCAGAAGAGAGAAGACGAAGAAGAGAACAAGAAAGGAGAAGAACAGAAAAUAGAAAAUAAAUAUGACUUACAAGAAGGAAAAAAAGACAAGAAAGAAAGUAGAAAGGAGGAGGAAGAGAGACAGCGAGGGGAAGAAGAUAUAGAAAAGAAAACAAGAAGAGAAAGAGACAGCGAAUGGAAGGAAAAAAAGGAACGAAAGAAGGAGAAGAGGAAGAAGAAAGAAAAACCUUGAAGAUGCUGAAACCGGAAGAGAACCAACUACAUUUUUUUGAUAAUUAAAAAAAAUGAUGAUGAUGAUGAUGAUAGUGAACUGAUGGGACGGAAGCCAUGUUGUAGGAACCGUCGAUUUUCAUCCAGAAAGAGGAGGAGAAGGAGGAGGAAGAAAAGGAAGAAGAGAGGGAGGAAGAGGAGGAGAAGAAGAAGAAGAAGAAGGAUGGAUAAUGAAGAAGGAGGAGGAGGAAGAGAGGGAGGAGGAGGAGGAGAAGAAGAAGAAGAAGAAGAAGAAGGAUGGAUAAUGAAGAAGGAGGAGGAGGAAGAGAGGGAGGAGGAGAAGGAGGAGAAGAAGAAGAAGGAGGAUGGAAAAUGGGGAAGGAGGAUGAGGAGGAGAAAGAGGAAGAGGAAGAAAAGGAGGAGGAGGAGGAGGAGAAGAAAGAGGAGGAGGAGGAGGAGGAGGAGGAGGAAGAGAAUGGAAAUAAAAUGUCUUCUGGAAACGUUUUUGUGAAAAGUUUUAGAAAAAAAAAUAGAGAAAAAAAUGCUGAAAAUCCUUAAAAGGUCAAGAAAGCUGCGAAGAGGGGGGGGGGGGGAGAACGAAGGAAAUGCAAGAAAGAGGAAGAAAAGGAAGAAGGAAAAAGGAAGGAAGAACAAGAUGAUAGAAUAGAAAAAGAGAAGCAACAAAGAUCGGGAAGAAAGAUGAAAUACGAAAGACUAGAAAUGGAAGAAAGAAGAGAGAGAAAAAAAAUAACGAAGAGGAGAAAGGAAAAUGAAAGAAACCCACCCCGAAGAAAACAAAACAUAGAAAAAGAAGAAGAAAAAAAACAAGAAGAAAGAAAGAAAAAACAAAGGAAAAACCAAGAGUAAAAUGCCGAAACAAAGAGAAAAAAAAACAAAAAAACAAAGAAAUUAAGAAAAAGAAAAAAAACAAAAAAACAAAGAAAUUAAGAAAAAGAAAAAAAAAAGAAAAAUAACAAUAGAUCUUUUAAAAACAUAUACAUAUACAUACUAGAAUUAAGAUAUAUAUUAAAUAAACAAACAACAAAUAAGAAUAAUUAAAGAAUAAAGAAUAAUAGAAUAUAAAACACAGACAAGAAAAUUGAAACGAAAUUAUCUAAGAGCUGCACACAACGGAAAAAAAUAUAUAUGAUGGUGAAGGUGAUGGUGAUGAUAGAGGCAAUAAAUGGUGAUGACGAUGGUGAUGAUGAAGGCACACAAAUGGUGAAGAUAGUGAUGAUGAUGAAGGCAAGGAAUGGUGAUCAUGAUCAUGAUGAUGAUGAAGGCAAGAAAUGAUGGUGAAGGUGGUGAUGAUCAUGAAUAGAUGGUGAUGAUGAUGAUGAAGGCAAGAGAUGGUGAUCAUGUUGAUGGUGGUGAUGAAGGCACACAAAUGAUGGUGAAGGUGGUGAUGAUCAUGAAUAGAUGGUGAUAGAGGCAAGAAAUGUUGAUGGCGAUGAAGGUGAUGAAGAUGGUGAUGAUCAUGCGAAUGGAUGGUGAUGAUAGAGGCAAGAAUUGAUGAUGAUGAUGAUGAUGGUGAUGAUGAUGAAGGCACAAAUGAUAGUGAUGGUGAUGUGAAAAGAGGAAGAUGAUGAAAGCACAAGAUGGUGAUGAUAAUGAUGAUGAUGAUGAAAGCACAAAGACGUGAUGGUGAUGAUAGUGAUACUGAAAUAUUGACAAAAGGAAGAAAAUGAUGAUGAUGAUGAAGAUGGUGAAGAUGUAUAGUGAUAAUGAGUUCGAUGAUAGUGACAAAAGGUAAAAAAAAAAUUGCUUACGAAGAACGGAAAUAGUAGAUAAAGAGAGAGAAUUCGGACGAGAGAAAGAGAUAAAAAAAAAGAAAGAUUUUUCGAAACUAUUAUUAUUUUUAAUGACAUUUUUUUUUUUUGCGGUGAAAGAGAUUUGAAGAAGAAGAAAAAUAAAACGAUAUUUUGAAGACUAACUUCUUUUUUUUUCUAUUCAUAACAAGAAAACGAAAACAGAAAAUAAUAAAAAAAAAAAACUUAAAAGAUUUUCGGGCACAGUGAUUGAAGAAAAAAAAAUGAGAAAGAGAAGAAUAAGGAAUGAAAUGAUAAUAACGAUGGAAUGAAAUGAGAGAAAGGUGGAAAAGAAAAAAAAAAAAAAUAUGUGAGAAAGUGAGAACGAAAUUAAUCUGUGAUAAAUAAGAUGAUUAUUUAUAAAACGUGAUAAUUUUUUCGUCUCUUUUUUUUUUAUUUGUUAUUAUUUAUUUAUUUAUUGUUGUUAUUAUUAUUAUUAUUAUUUUUUGGAUUGAUUGCCUUUGAUAAAUGUUUUUUUUUUUAAGAAAGAUUUUAUAUUGGCGAAGCAAAUACUUGAGUUUGUUUCAUUUUUGGUAUAUAUAUAUAUAUAAUUAAGCUUUUUGGGGGCAGUUAUAAUGCCUUAAAGGAGUGCCUAGAAGUUACGAAAGGAAGCUGUGUGAUUUGUGAAAUAGUUUUAGCGCGAAAAAAAGUUGAUUAGUUGACAGGAAAAUAAAAAAAGGGAUUUUAAUCUUUCCUUUUUUAGUAGCAAAUCACGGAUUUUCUCUCUAUAUUAUAAAUGUUGAUGAGUGUUUGUGUGAUUAUUUAGUGCAAUAAGUUAUAUUUCCGUUUUUUUUAAAUUUAUUUAUUUUUUUUUCUUUUAUACACGAAUCCCACCGCCAUGUGUACAGGUGUGUGCGUAUGUGUGCAUUUGUGUAUGAUUUGGUACCAAUAUGAGGCUAUAGUUUUUUUUUUCUCUUUUUUUUUAUUUGUUUUAGUUUUCCAUUUUGAUUAUACGUUUUUUUUUUUUUUUCAUUUAGGCAUUUUCGUUCGGAUUUGCCAUGUGUUCGGCUGGUCUCUUGGUGUUUUUGGUGAGACGAAGCCGGGGCCAAGUUAUGUGUUCGUUUUUUUACUCUAUUUUUUUUUAUUUCUUUAAUUUCUUCAUAUUUAGAGUGAUUAAAAAAAAGAUGGAAUGCAUAAUUCUGUCUACAUAUGGUUUCUCGUAUUUUUUACGACGGUGAAUAGUCAGGUUAUUAAUUGUAGGUGGCACAAUAAUAGUUAUUAUUUAAUUUUAAAAAGGGGGAUAUUGAUCACUUACUGACCAUUGGGAUACGGGAUUUUCUUUUCUUUUUUUGUUGCAGUUUUCUUAUGUUUUGUCCGUUAAUUUUAAAUGUUCCAAAUUCCUUUUUUUGCUUUUUUUUAAGCAACGGAGAGUUACUUAGAGAGAAAUAUUACAUUUUUUUUUUUCUACUGUAAAAUUUCACUAAGGGAAGGCAGUAAAGCAUAGUAGAAUAUAGGCCUGUAUCCCUUACGUUUUCUCAUGAAGUAUCUCUUCAAAACAAAAAGCCUAUUCAUUUCUUUUCUCUCUCUCUCUUUUUUUUGUCAUUCGUUAAGGAAAAACAAAUUUUUAUUUUCUUUUAUUAUGCCCCUCUUUCUUCUUUUCUCCCUCCUCCCUCCCUCCCUUCCCUCCUUUCUUUCCUCCCUCCCUCCCUUCCCUUCUUCCUUCCCUCCCCUCCUCCCUCCCUUUCACCAUAAUUAAUAUCAAAAGAUUUUUCUCAUUUAUCAUUUUUCUCUCCAAAUGAUACUGUUGUUUGCAUGCACCCACGGGCAGCUGGUCAUGUGCAAACAAUAUAUAUAUAUUUUUUCUUAAUAGUUUUAGAUUAUAUGUAAGCGUUUAUUUCGCGGAUUAAAUGAUCUUUUCUUUUAUUACUGUUUGUAUUUUUUAUUGUUAUCUUUGUUGUUGUUUUCAUUAUUCUUAUUAUCAUUAUUGGUAUCAUCGUUGGUAUUAUUAUUAUCAUCGUUAUCAUUAUUAUUAUUAUCAUUAUUAACAUUAUUAUUAUUUUUAUUAUUAUCAUUAUUAUUAUUAUCUUUAUUCUUAUUACUUUCCAUUUCCACUUAUUCCUUUCCACAAGCUUGUCUCUUUCGUCCGUUUCUUCUUCCAAAUUUAUUAUUGUUUCGUUCAUUUCCCACCUUCUUUCCUUCUUUUAUUUCAUUAUUAUUUUUUUCCUCUCUUUCGUUUAUUUUAACAGUGCUCAAUGGAUGCUAGAAUGGAUGGUUUUAUUUAUUUAUUUAUUUACUUUUAUUUUUAUUAAUUUAUUUUUUUAUUUAUUAUUAUUAUUUCUUUAGAUGGUGAUGUGGAUUGUUCACUUUUUAAUGGUUAUUAUUAUUGUAAUUAUUUUCCCAUUAUUAUUAUUAUUAUCAUUAUUAUGAGAUUUUUAUUGCCUUUAAUAAUUAUCAGUAAUAUUAUUAUCAUCACUUAUUACUAUUAUUAUGUUUAUUAUGCCAUUAUCAUUAUCAUUAUAACUUUCGUGAUUGGAAAUAAAUCAUCAAUCUCUUUGAGAAAACACUAACCUGAUUGAACACACUGUUUCCUUAAGAAUUAUGAGAUUUUUUUUUCUAGAUAAAUAUGAAAUUUAUUGCUGUUUUUUUUCGUUAUUAAUGACUAUAAGGCGUCCAUGUCUCAGGGGAAAAAUAAUAACUGGUAACUCACCCAUGCUUGGAGUGUUCGGAUUCGCUAGUCUCUUUUUUUUAAGUUUAAUCAACCUGAUGGCACUUGGGUUUAGAAAUAUAUAUCUUUUUUUAUUUGGGUAUUCAUGUGUAUAUUUUUUGUUUUGUUUUUGUUUGUUUUGAUAUUGGAAUUGGCUAAUUUCUACAGCACUUUAUUUUUAUUAUUUUUUUUCUCAGAAGACUUAAGCGAAUCGGACACUUCCAGAGGCCAGGGGUGAGUUGCCAGCUAUUCCUUUUCAUGAGAUAGAUCGCAGUAUAGUGCUCUUUUCGCUCUAAACAUUGAAAAAAUAAUAACGAGAACAGUAUAUAUUAUCUAUUAUAGUGAAUUUAAAUGUGUUUUAGCAUUUUUUUAUCACACAACCUAUCUCGGUUUCCGCACCAAUGAUAAUAAUAUAAAAAAAAUGUGUGCGUAAUACGAGAUGGGAAAUUGAUCCUUAUGUACCCUCGACAUAGCGGCCAUUUUAGCGCUCCACCAGCUGGACUGCCCUGGCAAAACGGCCGCUUCAUUUAAAUAUAGGUUGUGUUUGAAUCUAUAUAUAUAUAUGUAUGUACUAUAUAAUUUUCUAAUGACUACAGAUAUGUUUGUGUUAUAAAUAUGUAAAGGUAAAAAAAGGAGAAUUUCCUUUUUUUUUCCCUCUUCGUCUUGAUUUCGUGUUAGUGAGAAUGGUAAAUAUAUUAUGUGGAUUAGUGACAGUUUUUUUUUUUCCGAAGGUGAUGAUGAUUGAAGAGCAUAUAAUUAUUUUCCAAUGAUCGAUAUUUUAUGAAUUUGCAAAAACAACUAAUAAACAACGUGCCUGUGAGA